UACGGAGGGUGCUAGCGUUGCUCGGAAUUACUGGGCGUAAAGAGGAGGUAGGUGGUCUUGUGUGUCGGGGGUGAAAGCCCUGGGCUUAACCCAGGAGGGUCCUCCGAAACUGCAAGACUAGAGUCCUGGAGAGGGUCGUGGAAUUCCCGGUGUAGCGGUGAAAUGCGUAGAGAUCGGGAGGAACACCAGAGGCGAAGGCGGCGGCCUGGACAGGUACUGACACUCAACUCCGAAAGCGUGGGUAGCAAACAGG
rnacentral:misc_RNA from 1 species